ACGAACGCUGGCGGCGUGCUUAACACAUGCAAGUCGAACGAGAACCAUUCUUUCGGGAAUGGGGAAAGUGGCGAACGGGUGAGUAACACGUAGGUAAUCUACCCUCGAGUGGGGGAUAAUUCCGGGAAACUGGUUGUAAUACCGCAUAACGUCCAGGAGGGACAUCCCUUUUGGAUUAAAGGUUUCGACCGCUUGAGGAUGAGCCUGCGUCCCAUUAACUAGUUGGCAGGGUAACAGCCUACCAAGGCAACGAUGGGUAGCUGGUCUGAGAGGACGACCAGCCACACUGGGACUGAGAUACGGCCCAGACUCCUACGGGAGGCAGCAGUGAGGAAUAUUGCGCAAUGGCCGAAAGGCUGACGCAGCAACGCCGCGUGGAUGAUGAAGCACUUUUGUGUGUAAAAUCCUGUUGAGAGGGAAGAAUGAUCUGCCAUCCGGCGGAUUUGACGGUACCUCUAAAGAAAGCUCCGGCCAACUCCGUGCCAGCAGCCGCGGUAAUACGGGGGGAGCAAGCGUUGUCCGGAUUUAUUGGGCGUAAAGGGCGCGUAGGUGGAUUGGUAAGUGAGUGGUGAAAUCCUGAGGCUUAACUUCAGAAUGGCCUUUCAUACUGCCAGUCUCGAGUGCGAGAGGGGAAGAUGGAAUUCCUGGUGUAGCGGUGGAAUGCGUAGAUAUCAGGAAGAACACCGGUGGCGAAGGCGGUCUUCUGGCUCGUAACUGACACUGAGGCGCGAAAGCGUGGGGAGCAAACAGGAUUAGAUACCCUGGUAGUCCACGCUAUAAACGAUGAACACUAGGUGUUGGAGGAUUCGACCCCUUCAGUGCCGCAGCUAACGCGUUAAGUGUUCCGCCUGGGGAGUACGGUCGCAAGGCUGAA
rnacentral:rRNA from 1 species